UACGGAGGGUGCAAGCGUUACUCGGAAUCACUGGGCGUAAAGGGCGCGUAGGCGGCCUAGAAAGUCUGGUGUGAAAGCCCAGGGCUCAACCCUGGAAGGGCACUGGAAAUUGUUAGGCUUGAGUUCCGGAGAGGAGGGGGGAAUUCCCGGUGUAGCGGUGAAAUGCGUAGAUAUCGGGAGGAAUACCGGUGGCGAAGGCGCGCCUCUGGACGGAAACUGACGCUGAGGCGCGAAAGCGUGGGGAGCAAACAGG
rnacentral:rRNA from 1 species